AGCGAACGUUAGCGGCGGGCUUAACACAUGCAAGUCGAACGCGAAAGGGAUUCGUCCCCGGUAGCGUGGCGUCCGGGUGAGUAACACGUAGGAAACCUUGCCUCGAGCGGGGGAUAACGUCCCGAAAGGGACGCUAAUAACGCAUAAGCCCACGUCGGCUCCGGCCGAUGAGGGAAAAGGUGGCCACUUAAUUCAAGCUAUCGCUUGAGGAUGGUCCUGCGGCGCAUCAGCUAGUUGGUGGGGUAACGGCCUACCAAGGCGAAGAGGCGUAGCUGGUCUGAGAGGAUGAUCAGCCACACUGGAACUGAAACACGGGCCAGACUCCUACGGGAGGCAGCAGUGGGGAAUAUUGGACAAUGGGCGAAAGCCUGAUCCAGCCAUGCCGCGUGUGUGAAGAAGGUCUUCGGAUUGUAAAGCACUUUAAGUUGGGAGGAAGGGUAUUCACCUAAUACGUGGGUACUUUGACGUUACCAACAGAAUAAGCACCGGCUAACUCUGUGCCAGCAGCCGCCGUAAAAC
rnacentral:rRNA from 1 species